UACAGAGGUCCCAAGCGUUGUUCGGAUUCAUUGGGCGUAAAGGGCUCGUAGGCGGCCAACUAAGUCGGAUGUGAAAUCCCCAGGCUCAACUUGGGAACUGCAUCCGAUACUGGAUGGCUUGAAUUCGGGAGAGGGAUGCAGAAUUCCAGGUGUAGCGGUGAAAUGCGUAGAUAUCUGGAGGAAUACCGGUGGCGAAGGCGGCAUCCUGGACCGACAUUGACGCUGAGGAGCGAAAGCUAGGGGAGCAAACGGG
rnacentral:rRNA from 1 species